rnacentral:rRNA from 1 species
AUUGAACGCUGGCGGCAUGCCUUACACAUGCAAGUCGAACGGCAGCACGGGAGCAAUCCUGGUGGCGAGUGGCGAACGGGUGAGUAAUAUAUCGGAACGUGCCCAGUCGUGGGGGAUAACGCAGCGAAAGCUGUGCUAAUACCGCAUACGAUCUACGGAUGAAAGCGGGGGAUCGCAAGACCUCGCGCGAUUGGAGCGGCCGAUAUCAGAUUAGCUAGUUGGUGGGGUAUAGGCCCACCAAGGCGACGAUCUGUAGCUGGUCUGAUAGGACGACGAGCCACACUGGAACUGAUACACGGUCCAGACUCCUACGGGAGGCAGCAGUGGGGAAUUUUGGACAAUGGGCGCAAGCCUGAUCCAGCAAUGCCGCGUGCAGGAUGAAGGCCUUCGGGUUGUAAACUGCUUUUGUACGGAACGAAACGGCCCUUUCUAAUACAGGGGGCUAAUGACGGUACCGUAAGAAUAAGCACCGGCUAACUACGUGCCAGCAGCCGCAGUAAGAC